AGCGAAUAGAUACCCAGGUAGUCCACGCCGUAAACGAUGGGAUGCUAGCUGUUAUGAGUAUCGACCCUCGUAGUAGCGUAGCUAACGCGUUAAGCAUCCCGCCUGUGGAGUACGGUCGCAAGACUAAAACAUAAAGGAAUUGACGGGGACCCGCACAAGCGGUGGAGCGUGUUGUUUAAUUCGAUGGUAAGCGAAGAACCUUACCCAGGCUUGACAUCCUGCCAAGUUCGCCGAAAGGCGAGUGUGCCUUCGGGCCGCAGUGACAGGUGAUGCAUGGCCGUCGUCAGCUCGUGUCGUGAGAUGUUUGGUUAAGUCCAUCAACGAGCGCAACCCUUAUAGUUAGUUGUAUUUCUCUAGCUAGACUGCCCUGGUAACAGGGAGGAAGGGGGGUAUGAUGUCAGGUCAGUA
rnacentral:rRNA from 1 species